UACGUAGGGUGCAAGCGUUAAUCGGAAUUACUGGGCGUAAAGCGUGCGCAGGCGGUUGUGCAAGACAGAUGUGAAAUCCCCGGGCUUAACCUGGGAACUGCAUUUGUGACUGCACGGCUAGAGUGCGGCAGAGGGGGAUGGAAUUCCGCGUGUAGCAGUGAAAUGCGUAGAUAUGCGGAGGAACACCGAUGGCGAAGGCAAUCCCCUGGGCCUGCACUGACGCUGAGGAGCGAAAGCAUGGGGAGCGAACAGG
rnacentral:rRNA from 1 species